CGGCGAGUGAAGCGGCAACAGCUCAAAUUUGAAAUCUGGCCCUUGGGUCCGAAUUGUAAUUUGUAGAGGAUGAUUUUGGUGCGGUAUCUUCCGAGUUCCUUGGAACAGGACGCCUUAGAGGGUGAGAGCCCCGUACGGUUGAAUGCCUAGCCUCUGUAAAUCUCCUUCGACGAGUCGAGUAGUUUGGGAAUGCUGCUCUAAAUGGGAGGUAAAUUUCUUCUAAAGCUAAAUAUUGGCCAGAGACCGAUAGCGCACAAGUAGAGUGAUCGAAAGAUGAAAAGCACUUUGAAAAGAGGGUUAAAUAGCACGUGAAAUUGUUGAAAGGGAAGGAUUUGUGACCAGACUUUUUCUGGGCGGAUCAUCCGGGGUUCUCUCCGGUGCACUUCGCCCAGUAAAGGCCAGCAUCGGUUUUCGGCGUGGGAUAAAAGCAGUAGGAAUGUGGCUCUCUACGGGGAGUGUUAUAGCCUAUUGUAUAAUACCGCGCUGGGGACCGAGGUUCGCGCUUCUGCAAGGAUGCUGGCGUAAUGGUUAUCAAUCACCCGUCUUGAAACACGGACCAAGGAGUCGAACAUUUGUGCAAGUGUUUGGGUGUUAAACCCUCACGCGUAAUGAAAGUGAACGGAGGUGAGAGCCCUUACGGGUGCAUCAUCGACCGAUCCUGAAGUUUUCGGAUGGAUUUGAGUAAGAGCAUAACUGUUCGGACCCGAAAGAUGGUGAACUAUGCGUGGAUAGGGUGAAGCCAGAGGAAACUCUGGUGGAGGCUCGCAGCGGUUCUGACGUGCAAAUCGAUCGUCAAAUCUGCGCAU
rnacentral:rRNA from 1 species